AGUGAACGCUGGCGGUAGGCCUAACACAUGCAAGUCGAACGGCAGCACAGUAAGGGCUUGCUCUUACGGGUGGCGAGUGGCGGACGGGUGAGGAAUACAUCGGAAUCUACUUUUUCGUGGGGGAUAACGUAGGGAAACUUACGCUAAUACCGCAUACGACCUAUGGGUGAAAGCAGGGGAUCUUCGGACCUUGCGCGAUUGAAUGAGCCGAUGUCGGAUUAGCUAGUUGGCGGGGUAAAGGCCCACCAAGGCGACGAUCCGUAGCUGGUCUGAGAGGAUGAUCAGCCACACUGGAACUGAGACACGGUCCAGACUCCUACGGGAGGCAGCAGUGGGGAAUAUUGGACAAAGGGCGCAAGCCUGAUCCAGCCAUACCGCGUGGGUGAAGAAGGCCUUCGGGUUGUAAAGCCCUUUUGUUGGGAAAGAAAAGCAGCAGGUUAAUACCCCGCUGUUCUGACGGUACCCAAAGAAUAAGCACCGGCUAACUUCGUG
rnacentral:rRNA from 1 species